CCUACGGGUGGCAGCAGUGAGGAAUAUUGGUCAAUGGACGGAAGUCUGAACCAGCCAUGCCGCGUGAGGGAAGAAGGUACAGCGUAUCGUAAACCUCUUUUGUCAGGGAACAAAGGCGGGGACUAGUCCCCGGCUGAGGGUACCUGAAGAAAAAGCAUCGGCUAACUCCGUGCCAGCAGCCGCGGUAAUACGGAGGCUGCGAGCGUUAUCCGGAUUUAUUGGGUUUAAAGGGUGCGCAGGCGGCCUGUUAAGUCAGCGGUAAAAGCCCGGGGCUCAACCCCGGCGAGCCGUUGAAACUGGCGGGCUGGAGUUGGAGAGAAGUACGCGGAAUGCGCGGUGUAGCGGUGAAAUGCUUAGAUAUCGCGCAGAACCCCGAUUGCGAAGGCAGCGUACCGGCUCCACACUGACGCUGAGGCACGAAAGCGUGGGUAUCGAACAGGAUUAGAUACCCGAGUAGUC
rnacentral:rRNA from 1 species